GGUGGUUCUCAGUUGAUGCACCCCAGAAUCAGGCUCCCUCCCCUCUGGUUCUGGGUGUGUCACCCGAGAACUGCA
rfam:Myotis brandtii contig253395, whole genome shotgun sequence.